CCUCCCGCAGCUGCAAAUGUUUCAACACUGUCACUAACAUCUCCAUCCCAGAGGCUAACGCAGAUAGGAAGGCCAAAAAAAAUGCACUCGUGAUGAAAUGUUCUCUGAGCUCAUGCAGCCCUCCCGCACUGACAGAGCCCCGCAGAACGCAUGUAGGCAAACAAUGUCAGAUUCCAGGGAAGGGGUGGUGGUGGAUGAAUGCCUGCAACAUCAUAACAAGUGAUAAUACAUCCACAUAUGCAUCUUGAUAAUCUCUUGAGUAGGGACUGAGGACCCUGUGGAUCCAUCCGUGAAGGAAAUGAAGAGCUUAGAUGGAUUUCCUAAAUUGCUUGGUCCUAUCGAAGUAGAAAACCAAUGCCCUUCUAACAUCCAAGAGCAGGAGGAUUCUCUAUGAAUCAUCAAGGAGCCAUGCCCUCAGGCGAAGAAACGCUAGGUUGGGAUGAAGCAUACAACCUGUACCAUGUGACAGUAGAUGAAGAGUGGCUGGGAUCCUGGACAACAGUUGGACACAUAUGUGAAGCAGCUACAGACCCAACUCUGGACCACAGCAAGGACCAUCUGGGUAGAAGACAACACUGCUUCGUAGGAGCGGCCCUUGAGUAGCCGGUUGUCAAGGUAUAGGAAGAGUAGGAUCGCUUCUUGUCAAAGGUGUAUAUAUACCCAGGGAUAGUAAAGUAGCCCUAGACUCCUUUAGAGUAUGCAAGGACUCAUCUGUGGUUUCCAAGAACAGCUUACAACCAUCGAAGGGGAGGUCCCUCCACUGUGUUCUCUAUUUCUCAGAAAUCCUGAGGGAUGGAGCCAAGAUGCCCUGCACAUCACCACUACCACUAUGGAGAUGGACCUGGCAACAGUGUCUGCAGCAACUUAGGAUUCUUGAAAAGCAGUUCUGGACACCAACUGACCCCUUGAGGCAGUGGAUUGGAAUUGCUCCCUAUAUUCUUGUGGCAGAUGUUCAAUAAAAGCUAUGAAUCUGUUAUAAUUUAUAAAAUCAUAUUUGGCUUAGGGAUGUAAAUAGUGGUUAAAAAAGUAACCGUGUAACUGAUUAAAAUUUUAUUGGUUACACAGUUAAAUGUUUAACCAGGGAACUAGCACUCCCACAUUUUACGCAGGACUCCACCGCCCGCUGGUUAGGGAGGAGAGGGCUGUACAACUCUGGCCUCCCUAUGAGACAGUAUCAGUAGUUUGGCAAAUUGUUGAUAGGCAGCCCAAGGAUCACAAUAUUGCUACUG